AAGACUGCACUACAUUAUUAACCCUUUGUUCAAUGGGGUGGAUUUAACCUUCAUGAGCUGUACUGCACAUACAACCUGCCUCACCUCUGGGCCACUCAAGCACAGUGUGGUGUUUGUUUUGUGAUGUGGAUUACACUGAUCGGAAAGACAUUAAAGGCAAGUGAGACAGCUUGGCCACCUAGCACCCUGAAACCAGGCAUGAAACUGAAGGAACACAGAGCCACUUUGUGUCUUGGAACUUGGUUUCAGGCCCCUGCAUGGCACUGAAGGGGACACUUGGACUAGGACCUCAUGCAGAGUCGCUACAGCUUCAAUGAGUGAAGUUUCUCACACUGGAAAUCUGAUCCACUCCUUCUGAACUUGUGAGCACCACAAUGAGGAAGAUGCAACUUGGGGAUAUUUCAGAGGAACGUUUCAGAGUUGGGACACACAACAAAGUUUUUCCUCAAGAAGUAACAUACAUCACCCGCCAAUUAUAUUAAUAACAUGUUACAAGUACCGUGAAGAAAUGUAUCACCGUGAUCUACAUCCAAGACCCGUGGAAAACACAAGUCUGAAUUCUGUAAUUAGCUUUGAGAAUCAUAGCACUCUUACCUCUUCCACUUGGCUUGCUUGGUGUGUAGAAUUCAACUCAACACCAAGAGCAGAAUCUUCUGUAAACAAAUAAAUAAUACAAAAGAAAAAUAUUUAGAAAAAUAAGUAAAAAAUAAAUACAU